UACGAAGGACCCGAGCGUUAUCCGGAUUUAUUGGGUUUAAAGGGUGCGUAGGCGGUUUAGUAAGUCAGUGGUGAAAGCCCAUCGCUUAACGGUGGAAUUGCCAUUGAUACUGCUAGUCUUGAGUAUGGUUGAGGUGGGCGGAAUGUGUCAUGUAGCGGUGAAAUGCUUAGAUAUGACCCAGAACACCAAUUGCGAAGGCAGCUCGCUAAACCAUAACUGACGCUGAUGCACGAAAGCGUGGGGAGCAAACAGG
rnacentral:rRNA from 1 species